GCAGUUUUUCACAUAUUGCUACGCUGCAUUUAAAUCUAAUGAGUGAUUUUGCUUUUUAGAUUUGCCGGUGUACAGCGAGCUGAUCUCCCUUGCAGAAAAAGAUUUAUAUGAUGGUGAACUAGCACCAGAAAUCCAAAACACAAAGGAUCAUGCAAUAACUUCCCCAUCUACUAGUAGGACACCAUCUCAGCCUAGUGUGCCUUAAUUUAAAUGACGUUCGUGCGUUCAAUAAAGAUAUAUGUUAAACCCAGUACGUGUCUUCUCUGUAGAUACAAGCAACGUCUCUUCACAAGGAAUUCCUACAACUGG